rnacentral:rRNA from 1 species
GGAAUUUUCCACAAUGGGCGAAAGCCUGAUGGAGCAACGCCGCGUGCAGGAUGAAUGCCUUCGGGUUGUAAAGCUCUUUUACCAGGGAAGAUAAUGACGGUACCUGGAGAAUAAGCCCCGGCUAACUUCGUGCCAGCAGCCGCGGUAAUACGAAGGGGGCUAGCGUUGCUCGGAAUCACUGGGCGUAAAGCGCACGUAGGUGGAUCUUUAAGUCAGGGGUGAAAUCCUGGAGCUCAACUCCAGAACUGCCUUUGAUACUGGAGAUCUUCGAGUCCGGGAGAGGUGGGUGGAACUGCGAGUGUAGAGGUGAAAUUCGUAGAUAUUCGCAAGAACACCAGUGGCGAAGGCGGCUCACUGGCCCGGUACUGACACUGAGGUGCGAAAGCGUGGGGAGC